CAAGAAAGAGAGAUAUAGAGAACGAAAGCUCUCUUUCUCAGAAAAUACUCUCUCACACACACACCAUCAAGAACAAAGAAAAAAACACACGAACAAUCUACACUGUAAAAAAGAAUCAACGAAGUAUCAAAUCUUUGUUAUUCUUCAGCUUCCCUUAUCUCUCACGCAGAGAUCUUGNNNNNNNNCUACAAUGCCUUCUUCGUUGUAGCGGACAAGGGUUUUUGAUUCUGGAGCAAAGCGGAGAAUGGGCCAUCUUUCAAGGGAUUGGAGUUCUGGGGUGGGCAGUUCACAAGCUCUGUUAUCGAACUUUGAGAUUGAAUAGAGUGAUCAUUAAGAUUGUUAGUCUUGGGCA
rnacentral:misc_RNA from 1 species